CUUAAUUUUAAUUGCUUCCAGAUAUUAAUGAGUGCAUGAGUAAUAUCUCUGUCUGUGAUGAACAUAGCACCUGUCUGAAUACCAACAGCAGCUACAUUUGCGAAUGCAACGACGGAUUCACAAACGAUAAUGGCUCUUGCAUAGAUAUUAAUGAAUGUGCAUCAAAUACCACAAACAACUGCUCAAGCAAUGCAUUCUGCUCUAACAUAGCUGGCUCAUAUGUCUGUCAGUGCUUUAGCAACUAUAUGGGUGAUGGUGUCAAUUGCACAGCUCCUUUCAAUAUUGCAAGUCUGAUCAUAGACAAUAUCACCACCACUUCGGUGUCCCUAAGUUGGCCUAUUCCAUUAGGAAAUAUCAGGUCUUAUAUUGUGCAAGUCUUAGGGACUCCAUCAAAGGAACUGACGGUGUAUACAAAUUCUGUCGUUGUGAAUCAGCUGAUACCUGGAAAUUAUUAUACAUUCAUGGUGUUUGCUACAAACGGGAAUAUGAAUGGCACAACAACACAGAAUUCUACAUUUACACGUAAGUAUAGUAAAGUCUUUGUAAGAGAUCCAGUGACUACAAUUAAAAAUGCUGUUUUAAUAGAGCCAGUUCUUCAGUUUCAAUUUUAAAUGUUGCUUUUAAAUUGUAUUGCAAGUUCUGCCAUAAUUAACUUUUAAUCUGAUUUUAAAGAUAAACACAUAUUUGCAUCAUUUGCCUUAGCAAAGCAGUAAUGUCCCUCAUUGUAUAGUAAAUGAAUUUUGUACUGGCAAGCAUGUCAUGUAAGGCUACAAGCAAAUCUUUCCUUAUCAACUACAUGUUCUCUUAUGUUUUCCUCUCCUUUGCACUAUAUCACUUCUACUGUGAAAGACAAAUAUAGAAAGCAUUCUGUAUCUAGAGCUUGCAGUGUUGGGCAUGGUUGCUGGCAGAUGUUGCAACCACUCACACAUCUUAUCUAUGGUACAAGGUGAUAACCUCUAGAUAACAUCAAUGGACCUCAAAAAAUACACAUAACUGAUCACUCACUAAGGGGCAUAAUUCUUAUUGUGUAACUUUUCAUUGACUAAAAAACUCCUCUAAACUUGAUUUAUUUUACUUUCUAAAAAAACACAAUUAGUACCAUAUUUAUUAAAAGCCAUGGUGGCAUCAAAACCAUCCAAAGUUGUCUUCCUCAAAACCCCCCCCAAAAAAUGCAAAUUCAUGACAUUUUAUUUCUACCUUGAAAAAAGCGAAUCGAUAAAAUCGUGAAUUUUAAAUAGACAUACAUUUACACGCAUUCGGUCUUAGAUUUCAAACAAGACGUCCCCCAGCAGCCAUUUUUAAAACUUCAGCGCACAUUUUCAUCACUUGCAUUUUGGAUAGCAUAAGAGAAGUUUUUUUUUUCAGAACUGCCCGAUAGCCAAGCACAUUUGCCACAGUGGCCAGCAGUGAUAGAAGGAAGGAGAAGGAUUAAAGUGGAGGGACUCAGAAGGGGGCCCAGAGGAGUUAAAGGGGAAGGCUACUCUCCAACUAGCCCUGAGCCCCAAGGGAGGGAUCCAUUUGUGCACCACAGAAAUUGGUCAGAGAGAGGGAAAGGAGUUGUGGGAAGAGGGAGGUUGGGCAGGAGUCUGGUAUAGGAGUAGUGACCAAUGGAGGGGCUUUUGACCCUUGAGAGGAGAUGGAGGUGGAGGCUAAAGAGGCCUGGGAGAGGGGCCCAGAGGAAAGCUCAGCAGGAAGGGGGUCCUCGGCAGGGAGAAGGGCCAGCAGCUAGUGACUCACAUGGAUUGAAGAGGAGGGCCACAGGCAAACAAAGGAGGAGGGCAAGAUCAUUAAGGAUAGUGUGACUUGUUUGGUGCUCAUUUCCUCAAAUCCCUGCUGCCAGAUGCAAACAUCUCUGGCAACAGGUAGCCGAACGUAUGUGCUGGAACUGUUCUGCGCCGUAACGACACAUGUUGCACAAGCGAUUCAGUGACCUGAAGCGUAUUAGAAAUAAGCUGGUGAUGUGGAGGACUACAGUCUAGAAGGUUCAAAGAGAGCUUCUACCACCACUCAGACUGAAGCCCUAUCAGCGUUACCUUCUGGACUAUAUGGGUGAAGAGGAAUGAGGAAAAGUUUAAAGGCGAAUAUCUGGACACAGAUUCAAGUAAGUUUAAUUUCUUUUGACAAUUUUUUAUCAGUUAUAAAGUUCUUUACUUGUUAGCUGUGCUGAAGUAUGUAGACAGAUCUUCUUUAUCAUUCACAGCAACUACAAAUUGAAUUAGCUUCCUUGGCCAAAAUGUCUCCUCACACCCACUGAUAAAAAUAGAUUGGUCAUUAAAGAACAUUUGCCUUCCACCAACCUUGCUAAAUAGCUUGCAUUCUGCUGUAACAGAUUGUAUCACUAUUUCAGCAUUUUACCUUCACUUAACUUCAAUGUUCCCCAUAACAUUUUCCCUAGAUGUGUAAAUCCCAAUUAGCCAGGCAUCCAGGCAUAUUUAUAUUUCAAUUCAUUUCUAACCCCAUGGAAUGCAGCUGCAAGGACACUAAGGAGUGCAGGAGUACACUCUGCUCUGCAACAAUUGCACAGUAACAUACUAUACUUGCUUUAGCAGUUGGCCCUUUUUUAAUAAAAAGCAAUUGAUGCUCAGUUGCAUCUUGUGUACCAAGUUAACCCACAUGCCACUCAGCUUUAGUACAUGAACAUCAUAUUUGUGGUGGGGUCAGCCCACAUAAAUUUUUUAUGAAAAUGGUGUAUCAAGAAUGUUGGUCACACUACUUUUUUUCCCCUUGUUUGUUUCCCUUUGGUCUUUCCUUAUCUUGUUGCUCAAGUGCCAAGAGACUUCUCAUCAGACCCCUGCAGAGGAAGCAGCGCAGCCUUCGAAUGGCAACGGGGCAGAGGUGCAUGAGUCCGUCGAGCCUCAAGCAAACUGGACCCCACAACCGGACCUUGCCCACGUGGCCUGUAUGACCCCCAGGUUUCAAGCGCCAAGACUGCCCCAAGGACCCUCAGACACAAACACAUGGAAGAGACGUCUCAUCAGACCCCCUUUGAAGCAGCAGCGGAGCUCCCAGAUUUUCUUCUGCAAUUGCACGCUUGAUCAAUCUUUACAGUGUCAUCACCACUUCAGUGUCUCUAAGCUGAGCUAUUCCAUUAGGAAAUAAUUCCUAUAUCAUCCUAUUCUCAGGGACUUCAGCAAAGGAACUGAUAGUGAAUACAAAUACUUCCCUUGUGGAUGAACGGAUACUGGGGACAUGAGUGGCACCAAAACUGUGAAUUCUACAUGUACAUGCAUUUUAAAGCGUUCUAGAGACUACACAUAAAAAUGUACCUCUAAUAUCGCCAGUUCUACAGUUAUAUUUUUUUCUCUAUUCUCUAUGAACAUAUACUUUGAAAUUCUGUUAAGCCAAGUUAUUUAAGACUAAAUGACAAUUUGUUAGGCAACCCCCAAGUAAGCAACAUCAUUUAUACUGGGACAGUGCCUCUCUUCUCCCUAGGGCAGUUCAUUUUUAAACAUGAGCUAUAAAAAUAUCACCACUUCAUGGUAAAAUGUGGUACAGGUAUGGGAUCUGUUAUCCGGAAACCCAUAAUCCAGGAUGUUCUGAAUUACUAAAAGGC